UACGGAGGGUGCAAGCGUUAUCCGGAAUCACUGGGUUUAAAGGGUGCGUAGGCGGCUUGAUAAGUCAGAGGUGAAAGCCUGGAGCUUAACUUCAGAACUGCCUUUGAUACUGUCGAGCUUGAAAGAGAUUGAGGUCAGCGGAACGUGACAUGUAGCGGUGAAAUGCAUAGAUAUGUCACAGAACACCAAUUGCGAAGGCAGCUGACUGGGUCUGCUUUGACGCUGAGGCACGAAAGCGUGGGGAGCGAACAGG
rnacentral:rRNA from 1 species